GUAUCUACACUGUAAUUGGUUGAUAGAAUUCUGUUCUUUGGUUUCACAUCCAUAACUCAUUCCUGAAUAUGCGCUGGAAAUCACCCAAAACAAUGUGAAUGGGACUCUUGAAUCCCCAUAUGGAUGGAAACAAAUGACUCGAGUAUCUUCAUAAUGGUUAUUCUCAGCUGGUUUCUGGUUCUGACUGCAUGAGUAUGGGUACAUCUUUUCUUAGACCAAAAAAGAUGUCUUUUCUGCUACUUGAAAUUCUAAGCUCAUGAUCUUGUGCCAUAAAAAAACUGUUGAAUGUUGCUUACCAAGUAAAUUAUUUUCCUUUUAUUUUUCUUUCAGCGAUUGUCCUUUUGACAUCAAAGAAUUAUCAGGCUCAUGGAUUUGGCUGGUUUCUGAUGAAACUG
rnacentral:misc_RNA from 1 species